ACAUGCAAGUCGAACGCGUUGGCCCAAUUGAUUGAUGGUGCUUGCACCUGAUUGAUUUUGGUCGCCAACGAGUGGCGGACGGGUGAGUAACACGUAGGUAACCUGCCCAGAAGCGGGGGACAACAUUUGGAAACAGAUGCUAAUACCGCAUAACAGCGUUGUUCGCAUGAACAACGCUUAAAAGAUGGCUUCUCGCUAUCACUUCUGGAUGGACCUGCGGUGCAUUAGCUUGUUGGUGGGGUAAUGGCCUACCAAGGCGAUGAUGCAUAGCCGAGUUGAGAGACUGAUCGGCCACAAUGGGACUGAGACACGGCCCAUACUCCUACGGGAGGCAGCAGUAGGGAAUCUUCCACAAUGGGCGCAAGCCUGAUGGAGCAACACCGCGUGAGUGAAGAAGGGUUUCGGCUCGUAAAGCUCUGUUGUUAAAGAAGAACACGUAUGAGAGUAACUGUUCAUACGUUGACGGUAUUUAACCAGAAAGUCACGGCUAACUACGUGCCAGCAGCCGCGGUAAUACGUAGGUGGCAAGCGUUAUCCGGAUUUAUUGGGCGUAAAGAGAGUGCAGGCGGUUUUCUAAGUCUGAUGUGAAAGCCUUCGGCUUAACCGGAGAAGUGCAUCGGAAACUGGAUAACUUGAGUGCAGAAGAGGGUAGUGGAACUCCAUGUGUAGCGGUGGAAUGCGUAGAUAUAUGGAAGAACACCAGUGGCGAAGGCGGCUACCUGGUCUGCAACUGACGCUGAGACUCGAAAGCAUGGGUAGCGAACAGGAUUAGAUACCCUGGUAGUCCAUGCCGUAAACGAUGAGUGCUAGGUGUUGGAGGGUUUCCGCCCUUCAGUGCCGGAGCUAACGCAUUAAGCACUCCGCCUGGGGAGUACGACCGCAAGGUUGAAACUCAAAGGAAUUGACGGGGGCCCGCACAAGCGGUGGAGCAUGUGGUUUAAUUCGAAGCUACGCGAAGAACCUUACCAGGUCUUGACAUCUUGCGCCAACCCUAGAGAUAGGGCGUUUCCUUCGGGAACGCAAUGACAGGUGGUGCAUGGUCGUCGUCAGCUCGUGUCGUGAGAUGUUGGGUUAAGUCCCGCAACGAGCGCAACCCUUGUUACUAGUUGCCAGCAUUAAGUUGGGCACUCUAGUGAGACUGCCGGUGACAAACCGGAGGAAGGUGGGGACGACGUCAGAUCAUCAUGCCCCUUAUGACCUGGGCUACACACGUGCUACAAUGGACGGUACAACGAGUCGCGAACUCGCGAGGGCAAGCAAAUCUCUUAAAACCGUUCUCAGUUCGGACUGCAGGCUGCAACUCGCCUGCACGAAGUCGGAAUCGCUAGUAAUCGCGGAUCAGCAUGCCGCGGUGAAUACGUUCCCGGGCCUUGUACACACCGCCCGUCACACCAUGAGAGUUUGUAACACCCAAAGUCGGUGGGGUAACCUUUUAGGAGCCAGCCG
rnacentral:rRNA from 1 species